rnacentral:rRNA from 1 species
CCUACGGGAGGCAGCAGUGAGGAAUAUUGGUCAAUGGACGAGAGCCUGAACCAGCCAAGUAGCGUGAAGGAUGACUGCCCUACGGGUUGUAAACUUCUUUUAUAAGGGAAUAAAGUGAUGCACGUGUGCCAUUUUGUAUGUAUCUUAUGAAUAAGGAUCGGCUAACUCCGUGCCAGCAGCCGCGGUAAUACGGAGGAUCCGAGCGUUAUCCGGAUUUAUUGGGUUUAAAGGGAGCGUAGAUGGGUUGUUAAGUCAGUUGUGAAAGUUUGCGGCUCAACCGUAAAAUUGCAAUUGAUACUGGCAGCCUUGAGUACAGUAGAGGUAGGCGGAAUUCGUGGUGUAGCGGUGAAAUGCUUAGAUAUCACGAAGAACUCCGAUUGCGAAGGCAGCCUACUAGACUGCAACUGACACUGAGGCUCGAAAGUGUGGGUAUCAAACAGGAUUAGAUACCCUGGUAGUC